AAUAUGGGAUCUUUGUGGAAGUUCCAACCAACCAUCAAGUGAGCCUGAGCCAGAAGGGGAGCUGGAGCCCAAGGGGGAGCCCGAAUCUGAGGUCAAGGGGGAGCCCAAAUCUCAGCCCAAGGGGAAGCCCAAAUCUCAGCCCAAGGGGGAGCCCAAAUCUGAGGUCAAGGGGGAGCCCAAAUCUCAGCCCAAGGGGGAGCCCGAAUCUCAGCCCAAGGGGGAGCCCAAGGGGGAGCCCGAAUCUCAGCCCAAGGGGGAGCCCAAGGGGGAGCCCGAAUCUGAACCCAAGGGGGAGCCCGAAUCUGAACCCAAGGGGGAGCCCGCAUCUGAACCCAAGGGGGAGCCCGAAUCUGAACCCAAGGGGGAGCCCGAAUCUGAACCCAAGGGGGAGCCCGAAUCUCAGGCCAUGGGGGAGCCCGAAUCUGAGCCCAAGGGGGAGCCCGAAUCUGAGCCCAAGGGGGAGCCCGAAUCUCAGGCCAUGGGGGAGCCCGAAUCUGAACCCAAGGGGGAGCCCGAAUCUGAACCCAAGGGGGAGCCCGCAUCUGAACCCAAGGGGGAGCCCGCAUCUGAACCCAAGGGGGAGCCCGCAUCUGAACCCAAGGGGGAGCCCGAAUCUGAACCCAAGGGGGAGCCCGAAUCUGAACCCAAGGGGGAGCC
rnacentral:lncRNA from 1 species